UCCCGGGUGGCUCAAACGGUGAAGUGUCUGCCUGCGAUGCAGUAGACCUGGGUUCGAUCCCUGGGUCGGGAA
rnacentral:tRNA from 1 species